rnacentral:rRNA from 1 species
GACGAACGCUGGCGGCGUGCUUAACACAUGCAAGUCGAACGAAGAGCGAUGGAAGCUUGCUUCUAUCAAUCUUAGUGGCGAACGGGUGAGUAACGCGUAAUCAACCUGCCCUUCAGAGGGGGACAACAGUUGGAAACGACUGCUAAUACCGCAUACGAUCUAAUCUCGGCAUCGAGGAUAGAUGAAAGGUGGCCUCUACAUGUAAGCUAUCACUGAAGGAGGGGAUUGCGUCUGAUUAGCUAGUUGGAGGGGUAACGGCCCACCAAGGCGAUGAUCAGUAGCCGGUCUGAGAGGAUGAACGGCCACAUUGGGACUGAGACACGGCCCAGACUCCUACGGGAGGCAGCAGUGGGGAAUCUUCCGCAAUGGACGAAAGUCUGACGGAGCAACGCCGCGUGAGUGAUGACGGCCUUCGGGUUGUAAAGCUCUGUUAAUCGGGACGAAAGGCCUUCUUGCGAAUAGUUAGAAGGAUUGACGGACCGAAUA